rnacentral:lncRNA from 1 species
UCCAUUUUGGAUAGCUCACUAUCAGUUUAUAGAAAUGGUAAAUCACCCUUUGUGGAUAAAGCAUGGGUACUCAGCAAUUAGGAAUAAACCCUUCAGCUAAUGUCUAAGUUGCUUUCAUUGUUACUUUAUCUGUUUGAUUUCUUGUCUAAAGUUUGAUAAUGGCAACUAACCCAUUUUUAAGAGAAAUUAAAAUGGAUAACAUGCAUGUGAUAUUCUGUGAAAAUUGCAUGACUUCUUUUAAUUAAUUUAAGGAAACUAUAGAUGUGUAGUUAGGGCUUUAAACCAAACUGGUGCAAUUUAUUUUCUGCUAAAUUACAAAGUUAUUUGAUUGAAUUGACAAGUAAUAUUGCUUUGUUUUAUUUUUAAUUCGUUACUGUGCAAAUUCACAUUUGGGGAAUGUAAGAUUAUAUAGGAAACCUUGAACCACCUUUAAAUAACUAUAUUUUUAUUUAUUAAGCCACAAACAGUUUAGUUAUGUUGUUAUGAGCAAAUAUAUUUACUAUUUUUUCUCUGCAAUAGGAAUAGAGAUUUCUUUUGCUCUUCUAUCUCAACUGAAAAGCAUAUGUUUUCUGGAUCACUGCCAUUGGCUCCUUCCAUAGUAUUUAAUAAAUAUAUGCAUUUCAUAGUGUUAGGCUUGUAUAAAUACACUACUAACUUCUCUUCACUAUAAAUGAACUUGAGCAACUCUCAUAUCUACAAUUUCUAGCACCAGAAAAGUGACAUUUUCCUUUAAGAUGGGUAAUAGGCCUUUUGAGGUCAUGGUGGAGUCAUAUACUCCCUUUUAUGACAAUUAUUAGCACCACGUGAGGGCAGAGAGGAAUGUAAAAAAAGUAUCAUUUCAAGUUACUAAGCUACAACCUGCCACCACUGAUGGCAUGUCCACUUACAGCUCACGAGCCAGCUCUUCAUCAAUAAGUGCUGCUUUGCAGUGGUUUGUAAUUGAAUUGUAUGAUGUAAAUGUGGAGACAGCCAAUCAUGAUGUUACAGGAUCUUUGGGGUGUCGAUUUUCUUGCCCAGAAACCUCUGUGGACAGUGGCAUCUUUGCCUGAGUUCUUGUCCUGCAUCCAGGAGGAAUGAGAUACCUGGGAGAGAGGAUUUUUCAUGUUACCAACACAAAGAAAUGAUAAAGUGCUUCCCUUGCAGGUGAAAUGGCCACCAGACCCAGGCUUUCUGGAAUGCAUUCAUUUUCUGCAGUUGAAAGGGACAAUCCCGGAUCUGAAAGAAAGAGCCACAGUGACUCCAAGAGUGGAGCCAGGGCAUGCUGGACACUGCAUAGCUAUGGCCACGUGUGUCACCUCUGAGGGAGAUGUGAGAGAAACGCAGAGGGAUCGCUUGUGACUGUGCCUUCUCGAUGUAUGAUGGACUGUUCUGCUCAAAUAGUAAGUGUGACCAAGGAGCCGGUGAACAUAGGAAACAAAGAAUAUUUCAUUUGACAUUAUAAGGAAUGCGACAAUUCUAGUCACUUGAAAGUGAACUAUAUCUGUCGAGAAUUCCUAGUUUUAAUUGGGAAGAAAUGCGCUUCUCUUCUUGAAAAGCCACAGGUUAUUGCUGUUAUGUCUAAUAUCAGUCCUCUCUGGAUUUCUCAAAAGAUUUUCUGUAUAUCCUACCAUUUUCCUUCUGUUGCUGCAGUUUGGAAGUAGUUUGUUAUCAGGAUUAUCAAAGCAUCAUUGCUAUUUAUGACAAUGACUUUAAGAAAUGCAAGAAUAUUUGGAACACUGUAGAAAAAAUAUUUUAGCCUGGAAGGCAAAUACUAAUUUCAGGAACUAUUGAUCUGUUAUAAAACAGGACCACUCAGACAUUUAGCUCUAAGACUUUCACAUAUCCGUUGUUAGAGGCGUAUA